rnacentral:snRNA from 1 species
UUACCUUCCUGACAGGGAGGACAUGAUAGUGGUGGUGGUUUUUCCCAGGGCGAGGAUCGCUCAUUGCACUAGGGAUGUGAUUUCCACAAAUGUGGGAAACUCAGGUGCGUAACUUGUGUUAGUGAAGGACUGUAUUCACACUCCCCUCUA